UUUCAAGAAAAGGUUCCUUAAAACAUCUUAAGCUUUCUUGAAGGUUUCCCAAACCACCUUAAGGGUUCCUCCAUAGUUUUAAUGUACACUUUCACUAUUUACAGUGCACACCCAGUAAAAUAAUGCAUGGAAUUGAUCAAUCAACCCUCAGUUUAGGAUAUGGAUUUAUGGAAUAAUGAGUCCCUUCACCAAACACAUCCAGAAUAGUUCCUGGGGGUUGACUAAUUUAUUUAUUAUUAUAAUGUACAAAUGUACCACAGAUUUUCCAGAUGUUUUGGAUUAGCUAUUUUUUUUAUAUAUAUUUUUUGUUUUAGAUGAAGCUUGUAGGUGCGCAAUCACAGUUACAGAGCUGUUGCGUGUUCAUUUAGGUCAGUGUUUAGUCUUAAGAUUGUGCAGUGAUGACCACAAGCAUCAUCAGAUAAAUGAGGAAGUAGAGCAGUAUUCUCACUGACAACUAAGACAGUCAGUCCUCCAGCCAUUAUCUCUCCUUUCCUAAUAUAAAACAUUCACUCUCAACCCAACCAGAACCAUGGAGGAUAGUGAGCAUGCCGAGGGCAAUGGUCAGAAGUUCCAGCAGCUCAUGUAUUUCCAGGUGAAAGGUGAGAAGUGGUUGUUAAAGCUGAAGCUGCUGAUUCUGGCUGUUCUCUGUGUUCUUCUUGGAGCGUUCCUCGUGGCUUAUAAAGUGCAAGGUCAGUCUCUAACACUCACUGCAAAGACAACAGCAAAAUUAUCUAAACAUUAAAUGUGAAAGUAACUAUUUACUAGCGUAUUUACUCUCACUACAGUAUUAGAGUUUAGUUUAGAAAUAAACCUGAAUAAAAUUGAUAAAAGUCA
ensembl:lncRNA